rnacentral:rRNA from 1 species
GUGGGGAAUAUUGGACAAUGGGCGAAAGCCUGAUCCAGCCAUGCCGCGUGUGUGAAGAAGGUCUUCGGAUUGUAAAGCACUUUAAGUUGGGAGGAAGGGCAGUAAGUUAAUACCUUGCUGUUUUGAUGUUACCGACAGAAUAAGCACCGGCUAACUUCGUGCCAGCAGCCGCGGUAAUACGAAGGGUGCAAGCGUUAAUCGGAAUUACUGGGCGUAAAGCGCGCGUAGGUGGUUUUGUAAGUUGGAGGUGAAAUCCCCGGGCUCAACCUGGGAACUGCCUCCAAAACUGCAUGACUAGAGUACGGUAGAGGGUAGUGGAAUUUCCUGUGUAGCGGUGAAAUGCGUAGAUAUAGGAAGGAACACCAGUGGCGAAGGCGACUACCUGGACUGAUACUGACACUGAGGUGCGAAAGCGUGGGGAGCAAACAGGAUUAGAAACCCCUGUAGUCC